ACUUAAGUAGUUUAAAUAAAAUAUCGAUUUGUGGAGUCGAUGAUAUAAUAUAUUAUCUUAGGUC
rnacentral:tRNA from 1 species